GACGAACGCUGGCGGCGUGCUUAACACAUGCAAGUCGAACGGAAAGGCCCUGCUUUUGUGGGGUGCUCGAGUGGCGAACGGGUGAGUAACACGUGAGUAACCUGCCCUUGACUUUGGGAUAACUUCAGGAAACUGGGGCUAAUACCGGAUAGGAGCUCCUGCUGCAUGGUGGGGGUUGGAAAGUUUCGGCGGUUGGGGCUGGACUCGCGGCUUAUCAGCUUGUUGGUGGGGUAGUGGCUUACCAAGGCUUUGACGGGUAGCCGGCCUGAGAGGGUGACCGGCCACAUUGGGACUGAGAUACGGCCCAGACUCCUACGGGAGGCAGCAGUGGGGAAUAUUGCACAAUGGGCGGAAGCCUGAUGCAGCAACGCCGCGUGCGGGAUGACGGCCUUCGGGUUGUAAACCGCUUGCGCCUGUGACGAAGCGUGAGUGACGGUAAUGGGUAAAGAAGCACCGGCUAACUACGUG
rnacentral:rRNA from 1 species